rnacentral:rRNA from 1 species
GAUGAACGCUGGCGGCGUGCUUAACACAUGCAAGUCAAACGGUGAAGCAGGAGCUUGCUCUUGUGGAUCAGUGGCGAACGGGUGAGUAACACGUGAGCAACCUGCCCCUGACUCUGGGAUAAGCGCUGGAAACGGCGUCUAAUACUGGAUAUGUGAUGUGACCGCAUGGUCUGCAUCUGGAAAGAAUUUCGGUUGGGGAUGGGCUCGCGGCCUAUCAGCUUGUUGGUGAGGUAAUGGCUCACCAAGGCGUCGACGGGUAGCCGGCCUGAGAGGGUGAACGGCAACACUGGGACUGAGAAGCUGCCCAGACUCCUACGGGAGGCAGCAGUGGGGAAUAUUGCACAAUGGGCGGAAGCCUGAUGCAGCAACGCCGCGUGAGGGAUGACGGCCUUCGGGUUGUAAACCUCUUUUAGCAGGGAAGAAGCGAAAGUGACGGUACCUGCAGAAAAGGCACCGGCUAACUACGUGCCAGCCGCCGCGGUAA